rnacentral:rRNA from 1 species
AUACGGAGGAUGCAAGCGUUAUCCGGAUUUAUUGGGUUUAAAGGGUGCGUAGGCUGUUCGGAAAGUCAGGGGUGAAAGCACGGCGCCUAACGCCGGAACUGCCUUUGAUACUUCCGAGCUGGAAUACGGAUGCCGUGGGAGGAAUGAGUAGUGUAGCGGUGAAAUGCAUAGAUAUUACUCAGAACACCGAUUGCGAAGGCAUCUCACGAAUCCGUCAUUGACGCUGAGGCACGAAAGCGUGGGGAUCAAACAGGAUUAGAUACCCUGGUAGUCCACGCAGUAAACGAUGAUGACUAACCGUCGGCGAUACACAGUCGGUGGCCAAGCGAAAGCGAUAAGUCAUCCACCUGGGGAGUACGUUCGCAAGAAUGAAACUCAAAGGAAUUGACGGG